rnacentral:lncRNA from 1 species
UUUGUCCCAAGGUCAUAGCUAUAGGCUGACCAGUUAGCUAAUAUUCUCUCUCUUUGAAAGAGAAUCUGUAAAAUACCUCCAUUGGUAACAAGAAAACAACACACAAUCAAAACAAAGGAAGUGCUUCCCAAACACAAUCUUCUUCAAGGGAAGAGACCAGUACGGAGUCUCUACAAGUUGUUUCUUCUAUCAACGGUACCACGAAUGGCCCCAAAGGCCCAAAUGGGAUUCAACAUGGAGUCAGUGCUGUUACAAUAAGAUCUUCUAGUCAAGAAAAGUACUUGCAGCAGAGUCGGGGUGAUCAUGUAUUUUAGCAUUUAUUCAAGCCCAGGAUUGAGAAUAAAAGUAAGUAUUAUUAAAGUUAGUACUAAGAAAAGAGGUAAAAAAUCAUAAUUUUUGGUCACUUUGAUUAAAUUUACAAUAGAGAAAUAAAUAAUGUCAUUCAUUUAAUUAAUAUUGAUUUUCACUGCAUGCUAAUGCAUCUUAAGAAAAAAAUACACUAUAGACCUAUCUUAGAAUGGUCAUGUAUAUAAACAAUUUUAUUUUUGUCAUGAUUUCCAACAUAAAAUGAAUGCAACCUUAAUUCAAAAUCCUAUUCCUUCACCAUAUUUUUUAUUCCACUUAUUUUCAUGGAGUUCUUGUCACUUUUUAUCUUACAAUUAUCUUUAAAUUUAUUUUUAAUUUUAAAUUUAUUUAAAUUUAUUAAAUUUUGAAUUUAUUUUUAUAUAUAAGUUUACAGUAGUGUCUCCAUAUCACUAUACUAUAUUGAAUAAUACAUGAAGUCAUUG